CCAACUUAAACCUGUGUACAUAAAGAAUCAAAACAAAUUCACCUAGGAAGACCCUUUUUAAUUCUUAGUAUUCUGAUAAAAAGGCUCUCUCUCGUUUUUCCGGAGCUGAGAAGUCGAAACCCUAGGUUUUGUGGAGGAGCAGCGGCGCCUUAAAGAUAUGCUUUCUUUGGAUGCCUCUGGCGUCGGUCUUCGGGGGGCUAGUGUUGUUAUGGCCUUCUCGCGGCGUCUUUUCUUACGAGAUCAACGUACGUUGCUGCUCUUAGUUUUCUGAGUUGCGGCUCGUUAGCGAAGGCGUUGGCCUUGUCCUCGGUGGUGUGCUGUUGGUUUUUCAGCUGUGGAUUACAUGCGUCAGUGAUUCGAAGGCUUUACGACGGUGCCUAGGUUGUAGAAUAGCUGAGAAAGUAGAUCAGAUCCUUCUUAAUCUGACAGAGACAGUAAACUUGGUUGUUGAUUGUCAAGCCGGAGGUAGAAGAGAAUCCUUACCCAGUCGAGUCAUGGCGGAGGACAGAGGACGACCACCAGAAGGAGACAAGGAGGCGUUUGCGGUAGUUUGGAAGGAUUCCAGCGACGGCUGGGGGGAGGCAACCUCGAAGAACCCUAUUUGGCAUCUAACGUACAGGUGAGCCUAUGUGGGUGGGUGAGACUAGGCCGGGGCCUUGGCUUCGGCCCACCUCUCCUUCCUUUGCUUGGGCUUUUUCUGUUGGGUUCUUUUGGGUUUUUUGCUGGUUCACUUCCAACGUGAUUCUAAUUCAAGGCUAUUCACUGCUAUGAUGGGUGGAGGGGUACACCAUUGGGUCACUAGGCCCUAAAUCUAUCAUGGUAGAUGCGGAGAGUUAGGAUUACGUUUAGGAAUAAAUUUUGUUAGUUUUAGAUAUUGUCUGCCUUUUUGGACUUAGUUUUUGUAUUUCCCUUCCAAGCAUUAGUUUUAGCUAAAUAACGAGCUUGCUCUUAAGCUUGUAUCAGAGCUUGCUCCUGUAUGACGUAACAAUAGUUGGUCGAACGGCUUCAAGGCCAAUGCAAUAUAUCCAUACUUUUUUUAAAAAAAAAAAAAAAACCUGUGUACGUAUUAAGUGUUAUGACAAAAAUAUUUGUACUCUUGAGGCUCUUUUUGACCUUUUUAGUUUUAUAGAUAUGAAUGCUACGAUCGCAGUCAUGCAGACAUUGAAAGCAGACCCAAGGGAGGAAAAGAAAAUAAUAUAUGCUCAUAUGAUUGAAGGAAUUGAGUAACGAAUAUUUAUUCCAAGAUGUUUUCUGUAGCAUAGAUAAAGGAGUUUACAUACGUCAAAGACAGAAUUUAACUGUCUUGUUUCAUGAAUUUAAAAUCCAAGUUAUGAUUUUUGUCCAAUGACUUCGGAGGAUUCAGGAUAUGCCAUGUGUUUGCUGUCUGAUAUUUUAGAUCUUGAUCUUCUAUGCUCGAUCACAACCUCACACAGACAUGAAGCUUGAGAAAUACUAUUCCUCAUUGCCUUUAUCUUCUUCUUCUUCAUUGGGUCGACAGUGAGUUCUGACUUCUGAUAUGAGGCUGAUCGACUUUAGUUUUGACUUUUGAAUCCCAGAUUCACUUCAGUUCAACUACUUCACUCACUUGGGCGGGAAGUGAGAUCAAGGAACGUGUGCUCAUUGCAGGGGAAUGUGAUACCGCCCAUGGGAUGAUCAUAUCCAUAUUCUUCUUCAGCUUGGCUUAACAAAUCUUGGAAUGAAGG
rnacentral:lncRNA from 1 species